AGUGAACGCUGGCGGUAGGCCUAACACAUGCAAGUCGAACGGCAGCACAGUAAGAGCUUGCUCUUACGGGUGGCGAGUGGCGGACGGGUGAGGAAUACAUCGGAAUCUACUUUUUCGUGGGGGAUAACGUAGGGAAACUUACGCUAAUACCGCAUACGACCUACGGGUGAAAGCAGAGGAUCUUCGGACCUUGCGCGAUUGAAUGAGCCGAUGUCGGAUUAGCUAGUUGGCGGGGUAAAGGCCCACCAAGGCGACGAUCCGUAGCUGGUCUGAGAGGAUGAUCAGCCACACUGGAACUGAGACACGGUCCAGACUCCUACGGGAGGCAGCAGUGGGGAAUAUUGGACAAUGGGCGCAAGCCUGCUCCAGCCAUACCGCGUGGGUGAAGAAGGCCUUCGGGUUGUAAAGCCCUUUUGUUGGGAAAGAAAAGCAGCAGGUUAAUACCCCGCUGUUCUGACGGUACCCAAAGAAUAAGCACCGGCUAACUUCGUG
rnacentral:rRNA from 1 species